UCUCUCCUCUCUCUCUCUCUCUCUCUCUCUCUCUCUCUCUCUCCAUCCAGUUGGUUUUCAAGGUUGUGACUAUGAAGUGAGCUGAGAGUGGAAAUGCACUUAGUUGGAUGUGUUCCCUUGCUGAAUUAAACAGCCUUUCCUAAAUGCCAUGCGUGUGCCAGUGCUGUCCUCUCUUUUGAAAUGUACUCUGUACUGAAAUAUCCCUGAACUGAAAUAUGUCACCAUCGCAUUAACUGUUGUCUCUCCACUGCAUACAAGUUCCUACCAGUGUUACAGACUGACAUUUUCAAAAUGUCCCCUGGGGUAUUUAUAGCGGUUUGCUAAGUGGACUGGGUUUUGAAAGCCCUUUUUCUUCAAGCUUCAGGCUUCCCUAUGGUAGGUGGAGAGGUGCAGUGGGCUAGCACCCUCCAGGAGUCUAUUAGGCUCAUGGUGACAACUGUCACCUCGAUGGCCCGUCUGUAGUCCCUGAUUGGCUAACUAGGCACCAAAGGAAGAUGCACAUCCUCUGUGUUGAACACCCUCUCCUGAGGAGCUUUGAGUCUGACAUGACCAGGCAGCCCUAAGGCCACUGGCUCUGCAUUCAUUAAGAGGAGACUACAGCUCUGCAAUAGCUCUUGAUAUUAGCUUAAGGCGAAGGUAAAUUCACUGUAUGUAAAGACAGCAACCUCUAUCCCAGCAGGUGUUUGUGAUUUUGUAAUUGAUGCUAAUCACAUGCAUGGGAUCCACCUGUGAGACGUAGCAAAGUGCUCAUGUAUUAUUUGUUGCUCAAGCGGUGACUGCAUUAGAGCUAUAUAUUUAUAUAAUCUUCAAUAUAUCAAUUCAGAGCAAAUCUCACAUCGUUCUUUCGGGCUACUUUGGGGACAUCUUCAAGCACUCUGCAAAUUGUUAAAUUGCGCGUCUUUUCAAACUACUGUCAACCUUGUAAUUUUCUCUCGCUUUCACGACUCAACCUGGGAUCCAGGAUGACUCAUUAUUCAGUUUGACUUUCCUCUCAAUUUGUUUUGCUUCAAAGGCCAGGAGAUAUUGCCGUCAUAUACUUUACUGCCCCCUCAUGGUCAAGCUCAGUGGCAGUUGGCCGCCCAACAGAGACUGCUACUACAAACUGCCCUUAGGGGCCAUAAUUGAAACCUUCUGUGGAUCAGGUGGAAUGCUGGGGCUUUUGGCAUCACCCCAAGAUUCUCAAAUCCUUCCCAGGAAGAGGUCAGAGAGUUGGUACAGUGUUGCACAAAGAUGUGGAGUACUCCCCAAGACACAUUAAUUUGAAGAAGGAGAGAC